rnacentral:rRNA from 1 species
AGUCGAGCGGACAGAAGGGAGCUGCUCCNGGAUGUAGCGGCGGACGGGUGAGUAACACGUGGGUAACCUGCCGGUAAGACUGGGAUAACUCCGGGAAACNGGAGCUAAUACCGGAUAGUUCCCUUGAACCGCAUGGUUCAAGGAUGAAAGACGGUUUCGGCUGUCACUUACAGAUGGACCCGCGGCGCAUAAGCUAGUUGGUGAGGUAACGGCUCACCAAGGCGACGAUGCGUAGCCGACUUGAGAGGGUGAUCGGCCACACUGGGAAUGAGACACGGCCCAGACUCCUACGGGAGGCAGCAGUAGGGAAUCUUCCGCAAUGGACGAAAGUCUGANGGAGCAACGCCGCGUGAGUGAUGAAGGUCUUCGGAUNGUAAAGCUCUGUUGUUAGGGAAGAACAAGUGCAAGAGUAACUGCUUGCACCUUGACGGUACCUAACCAGAAAGCCACGGCUAANUACGUGCCAGCAGCCGCGGUAAUACGUAGGUGGCCAGCGUUGUCUGGAAUUAUUGGGCGUAAAGGGCUCGCCGGCGGUUUCUUAAGUUUGAUGUGAAAGCCCCCGGCUCAACCGGGGAGGGUCAUUGGAAACUGGGAAACUUGAGUGCAGAAGAGGAGAGUGGAAUUCCACGUGUAGCGGUGAAAUGCGUAGAGAUGUGGAGGAACACCAGUGGCGAAGGCGACUCUCUGGUCUGUAACUGACGCUGAGGAGCGAAAGCGUGGGGAGCGAACAGGAUUAGAUACCCUGGUAGUNCACGCCGUAAACGAUGAGUGCUAAGUGUUAGGGGGUUUCCGCCCCUUAGUGCUGCAGCUAACGCAUUAAGCACUCCGCCUGGGGAGUACGGUCGCAAGACUGAAACUCAAAGGAAUUGACGGGGGCCCGCACAAGCGGUGGAGCAUGUGGUUUAAUUCGAAGCAACGCGAAGAACCUUACCAGGUCUUGACAUCCUCUGACAACCCUAGAGAUAGGGCUUUCCCUUCGGGGACAGAGUG